rnacentral:rRNA from 1 species
GGUUCUGGGGGGAGUAUGGUCGCAAGGCUGAAACUUAAAGGAAUUGACGGAAGGGCACCACCAGGAGUGGAGCCUGCGGCUUAAUUUGACUCAACACGGGAAAACUUACCAGGUCCGGACAUGAGAAGGAUUGACAGAUUGAGAGCUCUUUCAUGAUUUUAUGGGUGGUGGUGCAUGGCCGUUCUUAGUUGGUGGAGUGAUUUGUCUGGUUGAUUCCGUUAACGAACGAGACCUCAGCCUGCUAAAUAGGCAGCGCAUUCUUGAAUGUGAUGGCUUCUUAGAGGGACUUUCCGGGUCU